rnacentral:rRNA from 1 species
CAAUAGCGUAUACUAAUGUUGUUGCAGUUAAAAAGCUCGUAGUUGAACUUCUGGUAGGAGUGUCCCGACCUUUUUGUUUUUACAAAUUGUAUGCUGUGUGACAUCUCUGGCCAUCCUUCUUCUUUGUUUAAAGAAGAUCUUUCACUGUAAAAAAAUUAGGGUGUUCAAAGCAAAAGUUUCUUUGGAAUAUAUUAGUAUGGGAUGAUAAGAUAGGCUCUAGAUGCUAUUUUGUUGGUUUGCACAUUUAGAGAAUGAUUAACAGGGACAGUUGGGGGUAUUCGUAUUUACAUGUCAGAGGUGAAAUUCUUGGAUUUUGGAAAGACGAACUACUGCGAAAGCAUUUACCAAGGAUGUUUUCAUUAA